GCCAGGCACAGUGGCACAUGCCUGUAAUCCCAGCAAGCUUGGGAGGCUGAGACAGGAGGAUCACGGGUUCAAAGCCAGCCUCAGCAAAAGUGAGGUACUAAGCAACUCAGUGAUACGCUGUCUCUA
rnacentral:sRNA from 1 species